rnacentral:rRNA from 1 species
GACGAACCGAGCGAACGUUGUUCGGAAUCACUGGGCUUAAAGGGCGCGUAGGCGGGUGCUCAAGUCCGGGGUGAAAUCCUCCAGCUCAACUGGAGAACUGCCUCGGAUACUGGGUGCCUCGAGGGUGGUAGGGGUAUGCGGAACUAUCGGUGGAGCGGCGAAAUGCGUUGAUAUGACAUAGAACACCAAUUGCGAAGGCAGCUGGCUACACAAAUAUUGACACUGAGGCACGAAAGCGUGGGGAUCAAACAGG